CUGAAUGACCUGGGAAUGAGAGGAGGGGCUGGUGGAGACCUUUUCACCAACACCAAGAACUGGGAUCUGAAAGCUGUUAUGCUUGUAUUCCCAGGGAACUGCAACAUGGCCCUCAUGGUCACUCUCAAGGAUCAAAACGACGGAAGGCAGGCAACAAUCUGUGUUAGAGGCACCACUGAGCUGCAGGAUGCCUGCUACUAAAAGCCUUCACAAGCAGAAAUGAAACAAACCUGCCCUAAUUCCAUUGUCUCAGCUGGUUUUUUGUCUUAAUUUUGAAACUGAAAACACAUCAGGGUUAGAAAAGUAAAAAUUACUUUAAGCUGGCAAAAUUAAAUCCUUUCCAUCAUUUUAUAAUGGCCACUCCCACUACUCUCCAAAAUUUGCUGCCAAGGCAAGAAUUAUAAAAUGAUAUAAUUAAAUCCAAACAAGAAUUUAGAAGUUGGAAACACUGUUCCCACUUACCCUACUAACACUGACUUGCGUAAAGUGCUGCUAACCCUUCAGGAUCAAGCAUCCUGUUCUGCCUUGAGCCUGCAGCAGCUUCCAUUCUGUCCAAUGUGGCACCACAGGGGCGUCUGUAGCUGGCCAGACUGCACCCCUGUGGAGCACAUGUGGCGCCAGCCUGAGCCAGAUCAGAGCACCUGUGAGUCAGGGGAGUGUCCAGGGAUCUUUUUGGAUAUCAUCUGAUUAACAAAUCAAGAGAGGCAAAUUUAACCCAACAGGGUGUAUUUUCUUAAUCUGGACUAUUUAAAAAGCAAAAGACAAAGCAAUUGACCGGGUCUUCCACAUGCCACUGUUCUCAAACAGGAAAAGCUUGCUAUAUAUUCACAUCCGUGGGAAUUUACGGGUGUUUGAAGUUAGACAUAACUUCCUUUUAAGCGCAUACUGUUCUUGCUGUAAACUCUGGUUGCUACAAUUUAUGAGGAGAAAGACUAUCACCCUGGAAAUUGAGGGUUGUUUUUAAGGAGCAAGCAGCCUGCAUUUAAAAUGCUCCGGGGUGGUCGGCUGGCACACACCUGGGGGAACCAAAGUGCACAGUGUGCUGGUAACAUUAACAGACUUGCCAACAGAGAUGCUGAGUCUAUACACAUUUUUAAAAUCUCUGGUAUUUAAGGUCAACAGGAAGAAAUUGUCCUGAAACCUUCCAUCCAGCUUUACCAGGCCCUAACCACUCUCGCCAGGCGGCAGCAGGCUCCUGCCCAGCCCCAAUCCAGCCUCACAGUUAUGAUGGAGCUGCAGAAACACGAGCCCUUUUCAAGGGGGCAUUUGGAGUGGAAAGCCCUGGGAAGGUAACGCUCACACUCCAAGGCCACACUCCUCCAUCUGGACAAACACACAAGCACCCCCAAUUGUAUUGGAAGUACUGUCAAGAGCUCAAAAUGCCCACCUUGCACUUUUUGGUCACAAGGCUCCAUCUGCCACGAGCGGCGGAUGUGACUUGGGGAUGUUUUCACUUGCUGGAGGAACUGUACAUCUCAUUUGGCAGUUAAUGUCUGACUAGUUGCAAUCCAAUUCAGAUAACCAGUCAUCAAAGGAGAACCCCAGGUUCUAGAGGAGUCUGCAGAUGCCCAUCAGAGACCAGGACCAAGUAGUCAGGGAACCUGACAAGUGUCUGCUCUAUGGCUAGAAGCUUCUGAACUGGGUCACCACCGACUGUGCUACCACACUCCCACUUACUGCAUGAUGCAAAUGAGCCACGUUUCCAUUCACAGAAUUCAGCUCAACUCCACAACAUGUGCACACAAUUAGGAAUGAUGCCUUCUUUUCUUAAACAUAAAUGAUUGUCUCCUGUACCCUAGUGAGUUUUCACAGAAAUCAUUAGCAUUUCGGCAAAAGACAUACACAGUUUUCCAUUUGCCCUGCCCACAGGCAAGAUGUUGCUAACGUUACACAUUGAUAAGUGCUUAGAAAGUGCUAAUAUUAUUACCCUGGUAAUUAGUAUCUAUAAUUCCAAGGACUUUUUUAUAUAUAUAUAUACACACAUACUAUUCUCUCAGGUUCUUUCAGUUUUCUUUAAUACUAGUCUCUGACAUUAUAAAACCUUUUUUUUUGUUUUUUGCCCUUUGAGAAUUUCUAAAUACAAAUUGAGUUAAAAGAUUGUUCCAAAAUCUGCUGCUUCAUCAAAAGGCAUUAAAACAUUUCUUAUGUCAGGAAAGGAUCCUACUAGUCUUUUAAUUGCUAUUGUCUGGGAUUAACAGAUAAGGAGAAACCAGACAGGAAAUGGCUAACAUAUGGAAAUAUUUGCACAUACCAAAAUACCACUACUUUUCUUUGUAUGUGAACGGUCCUGGAAGGAUUCUGUUGCUCCUUGGCAGGUGUGUGGUUUGCGCUAUAGACUGGCUCCGGUGAUCUGGCCAUUAUACUCUGCUGUCUCCAUCUUGAGGAUGUAGGGGAUUAUGCUGUCUAUCGAAACAUUGCCAAUGAGACCAGUAAAAAAAAGUUCUUCUGUUAUGUUGGAGCUCAUCAGCCUGAGUGCCGGCAGGCGAACGAGGAUCCGGGCCAAUCUAUAAAAGGGAGUGUCAUUAGAAAAGGAGACUGUUUGAUGCCCUUCAACCACAGCUCAGCAAAGGCUCCUGGGGUCCCGUCUGUAUUGCACAGAAUCAAACCAAACGGAUCCACCAUCCACCCACCUCUCUUUUCUGAUUUCAACAGUUCCUCUUAUAGAAAUUUAUCAUGAGAAAAAACCAAAUGAGUACAAAAUGUAUGUACAGAUGUGUUCCCUUCACUCUUGUUUAUUCCAACUCUCCUCACCCCCACCACCAAGAGAAAACCUGGAAAUUCAUCAACAGAGGACAGACUAAAGUAGGAGUCUUCAUAUGAUGAACUGCUAGAGACUCAUUUAAAAAACGAUAAUACAAACCUGUAUUUACUGACCAGGAAAGACAUCCAUGACAUAUUGCUCAAUAAAAGUUUAAAAGGAGAUUAUAAAACAGC
rnacentral:lncRNA from 1 species